ensembl:lncRNA
AAUGAUUCUAUGCAUUUACUAAUUUAAUUACAGUUAAUUACAAAUUGAAAUUUCAGCAUGUUUUGCUUUAAUAACAGCAUCAAUGAUGCUGCAUGGACUCCUUAAGUAGGUGUAAAAUCUGACGAGCAUAUUCUCCAGCAUAAUUCGAGAUGAUCUGAAGAGCAUUUUGAGGUGCAGUGGAAAAACAUCUGACCAUCUUUACGAAGAGCCUUCAUAAUUUUUUGUUAUACAUUUUUCAAAAUCCUAAAACAGGUUUAUUUCCAGUUAAGAUCCCAGACAUUUUUUUGUCUGUUUUAAUUUUUGUUUUAGAACCCAAGUGUUCACAAUACAAAACAAAGAUAUGUUUUUAAUAAGAUGCUUUGAAUAAUCAUAAUAUAGAACUGUAUUAGAAGUGUGUUUAACUGCUUACAUGAACCUCUGAAUUAUCCAUAAAUUUAGUGAUUCUUUGCGCUCUUGCACUGUGCACACACACACACACACACACACACACACACACACACACAGGCGCGGGCGCAAACACACCCGAGAAACACUGGAGAUCACUCAGUGCUGGUGAGCAGGUAGUCCAAAUGACUUGUUCUGACCAGCCAGCUUUACAAAUGAUUCCUGAAUGGAAAAAGCAAUAUAUAAGCUAUGAGUUGAGUUUGAGUUCUUGUUUUUGGAUACGUUCUUUAUCCUUUUAACCUUUUAGGCUUUUAUAGAUGCUUAGUUGUACAUGCAACAACAUGAUUACUUAACUAAAGGACAGCAUGUUGUUUUUCAGAUCCUGAAAUCUCUGCUGAACAAGGAAGAUAGGCUAAAUCUCAUUUGUUAUGUGAGUCUGGACUGUGGAUGUUAUAGUAUGGCUGUAACCUGUCUGAUCCGGUGUUUUACACCAUGGCUGAGAUUUGCACAAUGCCCGAGGUGCUUCUGGGACACUAGCCGCACACUACAUCUCCUGAAUGCAGGAAAAUACUUCACUGUGUUUCUUAUGGUUACAUUCGCUGGCCUCUACAAUAUGGCCACAGGUACACAACCAGAUAAAUAUUUUCAACAAAUGUAUUUGUAUGAAAUUAUGCAAUUUUAACUGUCAAUUUUAAUGCAGCAUGUAGUGACAAAAAAAAAUCUGAGAUUGUAGAUAGUAGCUGUUUGAGCACAAUAUUUUAAACAUUAUUUACAGAGAAAGUUUUGCACUUAUUAUAAUCUGUUAUCUAUACUGAUUAUAUUGGUUGUUUAGGAAGACAAACAAGAGCAUGAAACGACUGAGGGCACCUUUAUUUGUAUGUUGUGAUAUUUCAAACAAAUCACUUACUGUGUGUGAUAGAGAGAUCUGCCCAGCUUGUAGAAGGGAAAAUAUACCUGUAUAUAUGGGCCAUGGCUACCUGUUCUAGGUGUUCUAGUUACAGUGAGCUGGGAUUUAAGGAUGGUCUGGGGAUUAUUUCAGGGAAAUGGCCUGCUAAAAGACGAGUUGGUGUUUUCCCAAGAGGUAAAUUUAGUAUACACUUGUAAUACUAUCUUUUUAUAGUUUUUAUUAAAAGAUUUUUGGUUGAUCUGGAGAUUGUCUUUGUUAACAUGAUAUGUGUCAUAAAUCCGGUCUAUGGACUUCUGUUUGUUCACCACAAGAGGUCAUUAUCCACCACAUGGACACUACACAGCCUGUCACACUCACCCUGGACUUCAGUUCCCACAAUUCAUUUCACUCUGAUUACAAACACGGCUGCAGCCAAUCACACACCCUACAUAAACCAUGGACUUCCUCUCUCACUGCCAAGUAUUGUUAGCACGUAUCACUGUUUGUUGAUAGCAGCUUUAUGGCUCCUGUUUUUGAUUACUUUUGUCUCUAGUCUAGCGUAGUUCUGUCUUUGUCUUCCUGUGUCUCGAUUAGCGCCCGUAUUUGGAUUACCCUCUUGUCUUGUCUUUCUGGAUAUUGUUUGCCGACUCUAGCCAGUGUUUGGAUUAUUCUCUUGCCUAGCUGUCUGGAUACUGUACGCAGCUGUGCUGACUCUCGCCUGUCUUUGGAACAUUCUCUUGUCUUGCCCUGCUCAUAUUUGUAUGCUGUAUUUUGACCCGUGCCUGUUAAUGACCAAGACUUUGUUUGAAUAAAUGCCUGCAAAUGGAUCCA